GAUGAACGCUGGCGGCGUGCUUAACACAUGCAAGUCGAACGGAAAGGCCCAAGCUUGCUUGGGUACUCGAGUGGCGAACGGGUGAGUAACACGUGGGUGAUCUGCCCUGCACUUCGGGAUAAGCCUGGGAAACUGGGUCUAAUACCGGAUAGGACGAUGGUUUGGAUGCCAUUGUGGAAAGUUUUUUCGGUGUGGGAUGAGCUCGCGGCCUAUCAGCUUGUUGGUGGGGUAAUGGCCUACCAAGGCGUCGACGGGUAGCCGGCCUGAGAGGGUGUACGGCCACAUUGGGACUGAGAUACGGGCCAGACUCCGACGGGAGGCAGCAGUGGGGAAUAUUGCACAAUGGGCGCAAGCCUGAUGCAGCGACGCCGCGUGGGGGAUGACGGCCUUCGGGUUGUAAACUCCUUUCGCUAGGGACGAAGCGUUUUUGUGACGGUACCUGGAGAAGAAGCACCGGCUAACUACGUG
rnacentral:rRNA from 1 species